GAUGAACGCUAGCGGCAGGCUUAAUACAUGCAAGUCGAGGGGCAGCAUGGUGUAGCAAUACACUGAUGGCGACCGGCGAACGGGUGCGGAACACGUACACAACCUCCCUUCAAGCGGGGCAUAGCCCAGAGAAAUUUGGAUUAAUACCCCAUAGAAUAUUGGAAAGGCAUCUUUUUGAUAUUAAAGAUUUAUCACUUGAAGAUGGGUGUGCGGCUGAUUAGGUAGUUGGCGGGGUAACGGCCCACCAAGCCUUCGAUCAGUAACUGGUGUGAGAGCACGACCAGUCACACGGGCACUGAGACACGGGCCCGACUCCUACGGGAGGCAGCAGUAAGGAAUAUUGGUCAAUGGACGAAAGUCUGAACCAGCCAUGCCGCGUGGAGGAUGAAGGUCCUCUGGAUUGUAAACUUCUUUUAUAUGGGACGAAAAAGGGGCUUUCUAGCUCAACUGACGGUACCAUAUGAAUAAGCACCGGCUAACUCCGUGCCAGCAGCCGCAGUAACAC
rnacentral:rRNA from 1 species